CAAAGUGUAGUAUCUGUUCUUAUCAGCUUAAUAUCUGAUACGUGCCCCAUGUGGGUACUUCGAUAUUAAACUGAUUUUUGCAACUAGGUGAGAUGUAAGGUGCUUGCACCGCUCUUGCCACGAGUUGGC
rnacentral:snRNA from 1 species